UACGGAGGGGGCGAGGCGUUGUCCGAAGUUACUGGGCGUAAAGCGCGACGUAGGCGGGGAGCCGAAGAUCCGCCUGUGAAAGCCUGAAGGCUUAACCUCAGCUGGGUCGGUGAUACUGGUUCUCUUGAAGGCGUUAGGGGAGAGUGGAAUUACCGGUGUAGCGGUGAAAUGACGUAGAUAUCGGUAGGAACACCCCGUGGCGAAGGCGGUCUCCUGGGACGUUCUUGACGCUGAGGCGCGAAAGCUGGGGGAGCGAACGGGG
rnacentral:rRNA from 1 species